CUGUAUGUCUGUUCUGAAUUCGAAUCUGUGACUCAAGCAGGUUCGAAACUGCUGGCAAUAGUCCUGGGCGGACGCCAGCUUAUAGGACAGCCAAUGGAGACCGGUGGGAGACGUCCCCUGGCUCUCUUCUGAUUUAAAUUGCGAUCUGAGUUGCCGGAGCGCGUUUGCAAUCCGGGCAACAGCUGACUCUGACCCCGGUUCCCAGGCGCGCGCGUGCGGUCUGAGUUGCCCCGGUUCCCGGGCGCGCGCGUGCGGUCUGAGUUGCCCCGGUUCCCGGGCGCGCGCGUGCGGUCUGAGUUGCCCCGGUUCCCGGGCGCGCCCGCUUGCGGCCCCAGUCCCCAGGCUCCCGGCUUCCGGCGCCGCGCUUGCGGCCCCGGUCCCCGGACUCCCGCCUUCCGGCGCCGCGCUUGCGGCUCCGGUCCCCGGGCUCCCGGCUUCCGGCGCGGUUCCUGGGCGCGCACGCUUGCGGCCCCGGUCCCCGGGCUCCCGGCUUCCGGCGCCGCGCUUGCAGCCCCGGUCCCCAGGCUCCUGGCUUCCGGCGCGGAUUUCCUUUACAGGGAUUGUAACCCACAUUCCUUUACAGGAAGAGACACAGAAAGAAAUAGGACCCCCAGAUGACACAGGAAUCCCCAAGCUCCAGUACUGGCCAUUCUCCACCAGUGAUCUGUAUAACUAGAAGACUCAGAGUGCUCGGUUUUCAGACAACCCCAAAGAUUUACUGGCUUUACUGGAUAGUGUCAUGUUCACCCACCAGCCCACUUGAGAUGAUUGUCAGCAGCUCCUCCGAAUCUUGUUUACCAUGGAAGAGCGAGAGAGAAUACAGGCCGGCGUAGGACUACAACACGGCAGAAGAUUUCCAAGCCGAAAUUCUAGAUCCUACGUCUCUAUUGCGGGCCCUAAAAGUCGCUGUUUCACUAAGCUUUGGAACCUGACUCCGGGAAAUCUCAUUCUUUCCUCCCAAAGAUUUCAGCCGAAAAGAGAAAUCGGCGAGGCAGCCUCUUCAAGCGCCGGAGCUGGGAGCGCGGGUUCUGAUCCUCGGUCGCCGGGCCGGACUCCCGCAGGGCCACGGAAAGCUUGCUGUUCUCAGCUCCAUUGGCUUUUCUGGACAACCAGCAAGAUAAACUCACCAGUUACAUUAAUAAAAAAGAAACACAAAUGGUACAUAUGCUUGAAAAGAAACGUAAGUCUGUAUAUUUCUUUUGAAGAAACACAAAAGGAGGAGGAAUGA
rnacentral:lncRNA from 1 species